ACGUAGGACGCGAGCGUUAUCCGGAGUUACUGGGCGUAAAGGGCAGGUAGGCGGCUAAUCAAGUUGGUUGUGAAAUCUCCCGGCUCAACUGGGAGGGGGCAAUCGAAACUGAAUAGCUAGAGGACAGCAGAGGGUGGUGGAAUUCCGGGUGGAGUGGUGAAAUGCGUAGAGAUCCGGAGGAACACCAGAGGCGAAAGCGGCGACCUGGACUGUAACUGACGCUCAACUGCGAAAGCCAGGGAAGCGAACGG
rnacentral:rRNA from 1 species